rnacentral:rRNA from 1 species
AUUGAACGCUGGCGGCAGGCCUAACACAUGCGAGUCGAGCGGAUGAAGGGAGCUUGCUCCUGGAUUCCGCGGCGGACGGGUGAGUAAUGCCUAGGAAUCUGCCUGGUAGUGGGGGAUAACGUCCGGAAACGGGCGCUAAUACCGCAUACGACCUGAGGGAGAAAGUGGGGGAUCUUCGGACCUCACGCUAUCAGAUGAGCCUAGGUCGGAUUAGCUAGUUGGUGGGGUAAAGGCCUACCAAGGCGACGAUCCGUAACUGGUCUGAGAGGAUGAUCAGUCACACUGGAACUGAGACACGGUCCAGACUCCUACGGGAGGCAGCAGUGGGGAAUAUUGGACAAUGGGCGAAAGCCUGAUCCAGCCAUGCCGCGUGUGUGAAGAAGGUCUUCGGAUUGUAAAGCACUUUAAGUUGGGAGGAAGGGCAGUAAGUUAAUACCUUGCUGUUUUGACGGUACCAACAGAAUAAGCACCGGCUAACUUCGUG